rnacentral:rRNA from 1 species
AGAGUUUGAUCCUGGCUCAGAAUGAACGUUGGCGGCGUGGAUUAGGCAUGCAAGUCGAAUGCGAACGGAGCAAUCCAAGUAGCAUGGCGAAAGGGGCAGUAACGAAUAGGUAACCUACCUCCGGGACUGGGAUAUGCGGUGGAAACGCCGAGUAAUACUAGACGUCGUCGGAAGAUGGCAUCAUCUUCCGACGAAACGGUCAGCCGCCCGGAGAGGGGCCUAUUUCCUAUCAGCUAGUUGGCGGGGUAACGGCCCACCAAGGCUUCGACGGGUAGGGGGUGUGAGAGCACGACCCUCGCCACUGGCACUGAGACACUGGCCAGACUCCUACGGGAGGCUGCAGUCGAGAAUCUUCGGCAAUGGGCGCAAGCCUGACCGAGCGACGCCGCGUGGAGGAAGAAGGCCUUCGGGUUGUAAACUCCUGUUGGGGGGGCUCAAAUCAAUGAGAUAACCCCUGAGGAAGCACGGGCUAAGUUCGUGCCAGCAGCCGCGGUAAGACGAACCGUGCGAACGUUAUUCGGAAUCACUGGGCUUAAAGAGCGCGUAGGCGGCGUCGUAAGUCGGAGGUGAAAUCCCAUCGGCUCAACCGUGGAACUGCCCCCGAUACUGCGACGCUUGAGGAAGAUAGGGGCACGUGGAACUUCCAGUGGAGCGGUGAAAUGUGUUGAGAUUGGAAGGAACGCCAGUGGCGAAAGCGGCGUGCUGGGUCUUCUCUGACGCUGUGGCGCGAAAGCUAGGGGAGCAAACGGGAUUAGAUACCCUGGUAGUCC